rfam:Schistosoma mattheei strain Denwood, Zambia genome assembly, scaffold: SMTD_scaffold0014696
CUCCAACUGACGAGUCUCAAAUAGGACGAAACAUCCGUCCUGGAU